rnacentral:rRNA from 1 species
GAUGAACGCUGGCGGCGUGCCUAAUACAUGCAAGUCGAGCGAACAGACGAGGAGCUUGCUCCUCCGACGUUAGCGGCGGACGGGUGAGUAACACGUGGAUAACCUACCUAUAAGACUGGGAUAACUUCGGGAAACCGGAGCUAAUACCGGAUAAUAUAUUGAACCGCAUGGUUCAAUAGUGAAAGACGGUUUUGCUGUCACUUAUAGAUGGAUCCGCGCCGCAUUAGCUAGUUGGUAAGGUAACGGCUUACCAAGGCGGCGAUGCGUAGCCGACAUGAGAGGGUGAUCGGCCACACUGGAACUGAGACACGGUCCAGACGCCUACGGGAGGCAGCAGUAGGGAAUCUUCCGCAAUGGGCGAAAGCCUGACGGAGCAACGCGGCGGGAGUGAUGAAGGUCUUCGGAUCGUAAAACGCUGUUAUUAGGGAAGAACAAAUGUGUAAGUAACUAUGCACGUCUUGACGGUACCUAAUCAGAAAGCCACGGCUAACUACGUG